CGGAGCAACAUGGCGGAGCCCACGAGGAAGCGGCCUUGCGGCCUGGGUGAACAUGGUCAAAGAAUUGAGUGGCGAAAAUGGAAGCAACAGAAGAAAGAGGAGAAAAAGAAGUGGAAGGAUCUUAAGUUGACCAAAAAACUGGAGUGGCAGCGGGCACAAGAGGAACAGGCGAAGCGCCAGGAGGAGGAGGAGGCAGCUGCACAGGGAGAUGACCAUAGGCGGCCUUAUACUCUGAGUGUGGCCCUGCCGGGCUCCAUCCUGGACAACGCCCAAUCGCCUGAGCUUCGCACCUACCUGGCUGGCCAGAUUGCCAGAGCCUGCGCCAUCUUCUGUGUGGAUGAGAUUGUGGUAUUUGAUGAAGAGGGCCAGGAUGCCAAGACUGUGGAGGGGGAAUUCAUGGGAGUCGGCAAGAAAGGCCAGGCAUGUGUACAGCUGGCCCGGAUCCUGCAGUACCUGGAGUGUCCACAGUACCUGAGAAAGGCAUUUUUCCCCAAGCACCAGGAUCUACAGUUUGCAGGGCUCUUGAACUCCCUGGACAGCCCUCACCACAUGUGUCAGGAUGAGGAGUCUGAGUUCCGGGAGGGCAUCGUGGUGGACAGACCCACCCGGCCAGGCCAUGGCUCCUUUGUCAACUGUGGUAUGAAGAAGGAGGCGAAGAUUGACAAGAACCUGGAGCCUGGACUUCAUGUGACUGUGCUACUGAACCAGAAACAGCUUCCAGAAUGCAAGACCUACCGUGGCAAGGUUGUGUCAUCACAGGACCCUCGCACCAAAGCUGGUCUCUACUGGGGCUACACCGUCCGACUGGCCUCCUGCCUCAGUGCUGUGUUUGCUGAGGCCCCUUUCUAGGAUGGCUAUGACCUGACCAUUGGGACGUCAGAGCGAGGCUCUGAUGUGGCCUCUGCCCAGAAUCCCAGCUUCAGGCAUGUGCUCGUGGUGUUUGGGGGCCUCCAGGGGCUGGAAGCUGGAGUGGAUGCUGGAGCUAGAGGUGGCUGAACCCAGUGUCCUCUUCGACCUGUAUGUCAACACCUGCCCUGACCAGGGCAGCCAUACCAUCAGCACAGAGGAAGCCAUCCUCAUCUCUCUGGCCGCCCUGCAGCCUGGCCUCACCCAGGCAGGUGCCCAGCCCACCUGACAGUUCAUUUGCGUCCAAAGCAGCAGUGAAGCAGCAACGAAAGCAGGAGUUCCUGUGGGUCACCAAAGAUGGAUACACCAACACUUGUCUCCAAAAAUAACCACUUUUAAUGCAAUCCCAGCCCCACAUGCCACAGUCUCACUGGGCUGCCACCCUCACUUGCUGCCAGCAGUGAUGGCCUUGAGGCUGCCUCCCCGCGCCAGGAUAUUUGGCAUGAAGAGCAGCCUGGAGGCCCUCUCGAUGCUCUCGAUGGGCACCAGGAAGCGUUCCAGCGGGAUGGUCUCAUCCA